AAGUCGUAACAAGGUUUCCGUAGGUGAACCUGCGGAAGGAUCAUUAACAACAUAUCCUAACUUUUAAACCCCCCCUGUGAACGCUGUGGGUCAGCGAGCUCUGCUCCCACUGUUACUACUUACAAGAUUUCCCAAUUAGUGAAAGCUAUUGGGCUAUAACUAAACGACUGUUAACAAUGGAUAUCUCGAUUCUC
rnacentral:misc_RNA from 1 species